AAUACCGGAUAGGCAAUUUUUCCUGUAAUGGUUUUUUGUUUAAAUGUUUUUUCGCCUAAGGAUGGGUCUGCGGCCGAUUAGGUAGUUGGUUAGGUAAUGGCUUACCAAGCCGUUGAUCGGUACGGGUUGUGAGAGCAAGAGCCCGGAGAUGGAACCUGAGACAAGGUUCCAGGCCCUACGGGGUGCAGCAGGCGCGAAACCUCCGCAAUGUGAGAAAUCGCGACGGGGGGAUCCCAAGUGCCGUUCUUAACGGGAUGGCUUUUCAUUAGUGUAAAGAGCUUUUGGAAUAAGAGCUGGGCAAGACCGGUGCCAGCCGCCGCGGUAACACCGGCAGCUCUAGUGGUAGCAAUUUUUAUUGGGCCUAAAGCGUCCGUAGCCGGUUUAAUAAGUCUCUGGUGAAAUCCUGUAGCUUAACUGUGGGAAUUGCUGGAGAUACUAUUAGACUUGAGACCGGGAGAGGUUGGAGGUACUCCCAGGGUAGAGGUGAAAUUCUGUAAUCCUGGGAGGACCGCCUGUUGCGAAGGCGUCUAACUGGAACGGUUCUGACGGUGAGGGACGAAAGUUAGGGGCGCGAACCGGAUUAGAUACCCGGGUAGUCCUAACUGUAAACGAUGCGGACUUGGUGUUGGGGUGGCUUUGAGCUGCUCCAGCGCCGAAGGGAAGCUGUUAAGUCCGCCGCCUGGGAAGUACGGUCGCAAGACUGAAACUUAA
rnacentral:rRNA from 1 species